rnacentral:rRNA from 1 species
UACGGAGGGUGCAAGCGUUAUCCGGAUUUACUGGGUUUAAAGGGUGUGUAGGCGGGCUUUUAAGUCAGUGGUGAAAUCUCCGGGCUCAACCUGGAAACUGCCAUUGAUACUAUUAGUCUUGAAUUUUGUUGAGGCAGGCGGAAUAAGUCAUGUAGCGGUGAAAUGCAUAGAUAUGACUUAGAACACCAAUUGCGAAGGCAGCUUGCUAAACAAAUAUUGACGCUGAGGCACGAAAGCGUGGGAUCAAACAGG